CCUACGGGAGGCAGCAGUGAGGAAUAUUGGUCAAUGGACGUAAGUCUGAACCAGCCAAGUAGCGUGAAGGAUGACUGCCCUAUGGGUUGUAAACUUCUUUUAUAUGGGAAUAAAGUGUUCCACGUGUCGCAUUUUGUAUGUACCUUAUGAAUAAGGAUCGGCUAACUCCGUGCCAGCAGCCGCGGUAAUACGGAGGAUCCGAGCGUUAUCCGGAUUUAUUGGGUUUAAAGGGAGCGUAGGUGGAGUGUUAAGUCAGUUGUGAAAGUUUGCGGCUCAACCGUAAAAUUGCAGUUGAAACUGGCAGUCUUGAGUACAGUAGAGGUGGGCGGAAUGCGUGGUGUAGCGGUGAAAUGCUUAGAUAUCACGCAGAACUCCGAUUGCGAAGGCAGCUUACCGGACUGCGACUGACACUGAGGCUCGAAAGUGUGGGUAUCAAACAGGAUUAGAUACCCGGGUAGUC
rnacentral:rRNA from 1 species